GCCCCAGUAGCUUAGUUCAAAGCAUCGGUUUUGUAAUCCGAAGACCGGAGCGUAAAACCUCCCUGGAGCC
rnacentral:tRNA from 2 species